CCUACGGGAGGCAGCAGUGAGGAAUAUUGGUCAAUGGGCGAGAUCCUGAACCAGCCAAGCCGCGUGAGGGAAGACGGCCCUAUGGGUUGUAAACCUCUUUUGUCGGAGAACAAAACCCGGGACGUGUCCCGGUCUGCGUGUAUCCGAAUAAAAAGCAUCGGCUAACUCCGUGCCAGCAGCCGCGGGAAUACGGAGAUUGCGAGCGUUAUCCGGAUUUAUUGGGUGUAAAGGGUGCGUAGGCGGUCCGUUAAGUCAGCGGUAAAAUUUCGGGGCUCAACCCCGUCGAGCCUUUGAAACUGGGAGACUUGAGUUGGCGAGAAGUACGCGGAAUGCGCGGUGUAGCGGUGAAAUGCAUAGAUA
rnacentral:rRNA from 1 species